rnacentral:rRNA from 1 species
GACGAACGCUGGCGGCGUGCUUAACACAUGCAAGUGGAGCGACGAACCAGGGCUUGCCCUGGGGCAGAGCCGCGAACGGGUGAGUAACACGUGGGUAACGUGCCCCGAACACUGGGACAACCCGGGGAAACCCGGGAUAAUACCGGAUGCGCCCCCUCACCUCAGUGUGGAGUGUAGAGGAAGCUUCAGCCUCCGCAUCGGAAUCGGCCCGCGGCCCAUUAGCUUGUUGGUGGGGUAACGGCCCACCAAGGCUGCGAUGGGUAGCUGGUCUGAGAGGACGAUCAGCCACACUGGGACUGAGACACGGCCCAGACUCCUACGGGAGGCAGCAGUGGGGAAUCUUGCGCAAUGCGCGAAAGCGUGACGCAGCAACGCCGCGUGGGGGAAGACGGCCUUCGGGUUGUAAACCCCUUUCAGUGGGGACGAAGGUCGGGCGGUUAACAGCCGUUCCGGCUGACGGUACCUACACAAGAAGCCCCGGCUAACUACGUG